rnacentral:tmRNA from 1 species
GGGGAUGACCGGAAUUGACAGCUUGCGCAGAUUGCGUGUAAGCAUGCCGGGUGAUGAACGUACCACCUGUCAAAAAUUCGUUCGAACAAUAACUGGCGAAUCUAAUUACGCCAUGGCUGCCUAGUCUAGGUACUAAGCAAUUGCCAUAGUCUCGUGCAGGUUUCGUGAAACUGCUUGCACAUUAGAGGCUUCGACUCGUUUUACUAGUCUGUGUAGCGGUGUGAUGCACAGGCGAAACUUAAGCAUCUAAGGAGUGCGCAUAGGCUUGACCUAGGCCCGCAAACUCCCGACAAUCCAACUAGCGUCUAAGCAUGUAGAAAGCCCGACGAUUUCCUUGUCUGGACCAGGGUUCGAAUCCCUGCAUCUCCACAA